AAAGUUGUUGCAGUUAAAAAGCUCGUAGUUGAAUUUCGGAAUCUGUCCGUUGGUCGGGCUUCAUUGUCCGUACUGGUGUGAUGGGUUCUUACCUUCUGAAUAACCAGCAUGCCAUUCAUUUGGUGCGCUGGGGAAGCAGGACUAUUACCUUGAAAAAAUUAGAGUGCUCAAAGCAGGCUAGUGCCUGAAUACAUUAGCAUGGAAUAAUAAAAUAGGACGGCAUGGUUCUAUUUUGUUGGUUUCUAGGAUCACCGUAAUGAUUAAUAGGGAUAGUUGGGGGCAUUAGUAUUCAAUUGUCAGAGGUGAAAUUCUUGGAUUUAUUGAAGACUAACUUCUGCGAAAGCAUUUGCCAAGGAUGUUUUCAUUAAUCAAGAACGAAAGUUAGGGGAUCGAAGACGAUCAGAUACCGUCGUAGUCUUAACCAUAAACUAUGCCGACUAGGGAUCGGACGAUGUUAAUUUUUUAAUGACUCGUUCGGCGCC
rnacentral:rRNA from 1 species